rnacentral:rRNA from 1 species
GACGAACGCUGGCGGCGUGCUUAACACAUGCAAGUCGAACGGAAAGGCCCUGCUUUUGUGGGGUGCUCGAGUGGCGAACGGGUGAGUAACACGUGAGUAACCUGCCCUUGACUUUGGGAUAACUUCAGGAAACUGGGGCUAAUACCGGAUAGGAGCUCCUGCUGCAUGGUGGGGGUUGGAAAGUUUCGGCGGUUGGGGAUGGACUCGCGGCUUAUCAGCUUGUUGGUGGGGUAGUGGCUUACCAAGGCUUUGACGGGUAGCCGGCCUGAGAGGGUGACCGGCGACAUUGGGAAUGAGAGACGGCCCAGACUCCUACGGGAGGCAGCAGUGGGGAAUAGUGAACAAGGGGCGGAAGCCUGAUGCAGCAACGCAGCGUGCGGGAUGACGGCCUUCGGGUUGUAAAACGCGUUCGCCUGUGACGAAGCGUGAGUGACGGUAAUGGGUAAAGAAGAACCGGCUAACGAAGUG